AACGUAGGUGACAAGCGUUAUCCGGAUUUACUGGGCGUAAAGGGUGUGCAGGCGGGGGGAUAAGUGGUGUAUGAAAGUGCCCGGCUUAACCGGGCGAGGCUAUGCCAGACUGUCCUUCUUGAGCGCGAGAGAGGAGCGUGGAAUUCCGGGUGUAGUGGUGAAAUGCGUAGAGAUCCGGAGGAACCCCAGAGGCGAAGGCGGCGCUCUGGCUCGCGACUGACGCUCAGACACGACAGCAUGGGGAG
rnacentral:rRNA from 1 species